UACGUAGGGUGCGAGCGUUAAUCGGAAUUACUGGGCGUAAAGCGUGCGCAGGCGGUUUUGUAAGACAGGUGUGAAAUCCCCGGGCUUAACCUGGGAACUGCGCUUGUGACUGCAAGACUCGAGUACGGCAGAGGGGGGUAGAAUUCCACGUGUAGCAGUGAAAUGCGUAGAUAUCAAGUGGAACACCAGUGGCGAAGGCGAGUCUCUGGACAUUUCCUGACGCUGAGG
rnacentral:rRNA from 1 species